rnacentral:sRNA from 1 species
GAAGAGUCCAUCAUGUUCCAAGGAGACAGAAUUAAAUGUACUUCUGAAGCACAUAAUGUGGGUGAUGAGAACUGAAUUCAGGUCCUUCGAUCUCUCAAAUUUAUACUUUAUUAUGAAGAAGCAAUUGCAAGCAUCAACUACAUAAAUACAUGGAGCUAACAUAAUGGGUCAAAGAAGUGUGAUAAAAUAAAUUCCUGUAGUUUAGACCUUCCAAAUUAGAAUACUCUCUUAUGGGAACCCAGAAAACUAAACCAAGAAGUGUCUCAACUAGGAUAAGCACAAAAAGAGAUUACGUCAGGUGACAAACGUGGGCUGACAUCAUUCUUCAUAAUGAGGCCAACGCAAAAAGAAGGCAUGUAGUUCUUCCCAGCGAAUGCGAAGAUUAGACCGUGUGCAGGAGAGAAGGUUGAGUUUAUCCAGUCUGUUUUCAUGCUGAGCACUGCGCACCCUGCUCCAGAGCCCUUGAGCACUCUACAGACGGCACUGCUGAACUGGAUCCGAUAAUAGAUGCUGGCCCAUGGGGUCAACUUGAGAAACCAGCAGCAGCUUAUGAAAUACGUGGAUUCCUCUAUGGCAGUGACUGUCUCGAUUACUUAGUUGCAGUAAUGUACAUGUAACAGACUUGAAACAAUGUGAAGACGUGAAGACAUGACACAAGUUUCAAAUAAGGAUAUUCAUGAGAAACCAGCACAGAGGUGCAAGUUUAUUUUGUGUAACAAAUUUAGAAGACUUCUGAGAAUUUGGAGAAAAAAAUGGAUAAUUACAAAGAAGAAAAUACUCUGCUAAUUUGGACUGAACAAAGAAGUUUCAAACUGCUACAUACGAAGUCUCCUUGGUUUUUGUUAGGUGAUGAGAACUUUUGGAAAAUUUUUUGGGGUGGAAAAUUUUUGAAGUUGAUUCUGGCAUCAUGGAAAUUUGGUACCCAAUAGAAGUUCAAUAAAUGUUUGUUAAAUGAAUAACAAUGUGAUGCCAUAAACCAGAUUUUGGACUCCACCAAAACAAUAGUUGUCAUGAAUGGAUUUGUUUUUCCGGAGUUGAUCUCUUUUAUUGCUGUUUAAAUAUAAUGUCCUUUGAAUAAGGGUCAUAUGAUGCACUCGUAUCAUUAGGUGAUCGCUUAUAUGCCACACAUGAUUGAAAAUGUCUUGCUAGUAAUCAUUUGUCAACUUGACACAAAUUAAAGUUCCUA